UACGGGGGGGGCAAGCGUUGUUCGGAAUUACUGGGCGUAAAGGGCUCGUAGGCGGCCAACUAAGUCAGACGUGAAAUCCCUCGGCUUAACCGGGGAACUGCGUCUGAUACUGGUUGGCUUGAAUCCGGGAGAGGGAUGUGGAAUUCCAGGUGUAGCGGUGGAAUGCGCAGAUAUCAGGAGGAACACCGAUGGCGAAGGCGGUUCUCUGGGACGGUACUGACGCUGAGACGCGAAAGCGUGGGGAGCGAACAGG
rnacentral:rRNA from 1 species